UACGUAGGGACCAAGCGUUGUUCGGAUUUACUGGGCGUAAAGGGCGCGUAGGCGGCAAUUCAAGUCACUUGUGAAAUCUCCGAGCUUAACUCGGAACGGUCAAGUGAUACUGCUUUGCUAGAGUGCAGAAGGGGCAACCGGAAUUCUUGGUGUAGCGGUGAAAUGCGUAGAUAUCAAGAAGAACACCGGAGGUGAAGACGGGUUGCUGGGCUGACACUGACGCUGAGGCGCGAAAGCUAGGGUAGCAAACGGG
rnacentral:rRNA from 1 species